GAUGAACGCUGGCGGCGUGCCUAACACAUGCAAGUCGAGCGAUUCUCUUCGGAGAAGAGCGGCGGACGGGUGAGUAACGCGUGGGUAACCUGCCCUGUACACACGGAUAACAUACCGAAAGGUAUGCUAAUACGAGAUAAUAUACUUUUAUCGCAUGGUAGAAGUAUCAAAGCUCCGGCGGUACAGGAUGGACCCGCGUCUGAUUAGCUAGUUGGUAAGGUAACGGCUUACCAAGGCGACGAUCAGUAGCCGACCUGAGAGGGUGAUCGGCCAAAUUGGAACUGAGACACGGUCCAAACUCCUACGGGAGGCAGCAGUGGGGAAUAUUGCACAAUGGGCGAAAGCCUGAUGCAGCAACGCCGCGUGAGCGAUGAAGGCCUUCGGGUCGUAAAGCUCUGUCCUCAAGGAAGAUAAUGACGGUACUUGAGGAGGAAGCCCCGGCUAACUACGUGCCAGCAGCCGCAGUAA
rnacentral:rRNA from 1 species